rnacentral:rRNA from 1 species
AGAGUUUGAUCAUGGCUCAGAUUGAACGCUGGCGGCAUGCUUUACACAUGCAAGUCGAGCGGCAGCGCGGGGGCAACUCUGGCGGCGAGCGGCGAACGGGUGAGUAAUAGAUAGGAACGUAUCCGGGAGUGGGGGAUAACUAGCCGAAAGGUUAGCUAAUACCGCAUAUUCUCUGAGGAGGAAAGCGGGGGACUCGUAAGAGCCUCGCGCUCGCGGAGUGGCCUAUCUCCGAUUAGCUAGUUGGUGAGGUAAAGGCUCACCAAGGCGACGAUCGGUAGCUGGUCUGAGAGGAUGAUCAGCCACACUGGGACUGAGACACGGCCCAGACUCCUACGGGAGGCAGCAGUGGGGAAUUUUGGACAAUGGGGGCAACCCUGAUCCAGCCAUGCCGCGUGCGGGAAGAAGGCCUUCGGGUUGUAAACCGCUUUUAUUCGGAAAGAAGGAGUGGGGGUUAAUACCUCUCAUGACAGACGGUACCGGAUGAAUAAGCACCGGCUAACUACGUGCCAGCAGCCGCGGUAAUACGUAGGGUGCGAGCGUUAAUCGGAAUUACUGGGCGUAAAGCGUGCGCAGGCGGUUCUGAAAGUCAGCUGUGAAAGCCCCGGGCUUAACCUGGGAAUGGCGGUUGAAACUACAGGACUAGAAUCUGGCAGAGGGGGGUGGAAUUCCACGUGUAGCAGUGAAAUGCGUAGAGAUGUGGAGGAACACCGAUGGCGAAGGCAGCCCCCUGGGCUGAGAUUGACGCUCAGGCACGAAAGCGUGGGGAGCAAACAGGAUUAGAUACCCUAGUAGUCC